GACGAACGCUGGCGGCAUGCCUAAUACAUGCAAGUCGAGCGAACAGAUGAAGUGCUUGCACUUCUGACGUUAGCGGCGAACGGGUGAGUAACACGUAAGGAAUCUACCUAUAAGCGGGGGAUAACAUUCGGAAACGGGUGCUAAUACCGCAUAAUAUCUUCUUCCGCAUGGAAGAAGAUUGAAAGACGGCUCUGCUGUCACUUAUAGAUGACCUUGCGGUGCAUUAGUUAGUUGGUGGGGUAACGGCCUACCAAGACGAUGAUGCAUAGCCGACCUUGGAGGGUGCUCGGCCACAUUGGGACUGAGACACGGCCCAAACUCCUACGGGAGGCAGCAGUAGGGCAUCUUCCGCAAUGGGCGAAAGCCUGACGGAGCAAUGCCGCGUGAGUGAAGAAGGCCUUCGGGUCGUAAAACUCUGUUAUAAGAGAAGAACAAAUUGUAGAGUAACUGCUACAGUCUUGACGGUAUCUUAUCAGAAAGCCACGGCUAACUACGUGCCAGCCGCCGCAGUAA
rnacentral:rRNA from 1 species